rnacentral:misc_RNA from 1 species
GGCUUGCUUGUUCAAAUUGUCUAGUUCAACAUUACAAAGCUUAUACUUGUCAUUUUACAUAUGGAAAAAAAGGUUUUGAGCUAGAUGGUGCUGUUGUUUGGAAUUGUCAAAUGGUUAAUUUCUUUUUGAAUUUCAAUUGAUAUUUGCACUACCUGACUGAUUUUUAGUUUGGUUCAUAUUUAUCAAUAUGACUCUUUGACAGUGAGGAUUGGUUGAGUUGAGUUGUAUCUAUGUAGCUAAGUUGAGCUAGAUGUGAAUGUCAUGUAAUUUGAUUCUUGAGCUGAAGUUGAGCUUAUUUCUUUCCUAACUUUUUCCCUAUGUCAUUCGUAUUCUGUUACUUUCUUUCAUGCACUAUGUAGAUGCUUCUGAGUUCCAAUAUAUACUAUUUUUGAAUUUUGGGCAAAAUUUUCAACUUCUU